UACAGAGGUCUCAAGCGUUGUUCGGAAUCACUGGGCGUAAAGGGUGCGUAGGCGGCGCAAAAAAGUCAGAUGUGAAAUCCGGAGGCUCAACCUCCGAAUUGCAUCCGAAACUCUUGUGCUAGAGAAUUGUAGAGGAGCUUGGAACUCUCGGUGUAGCAGUGAAAUGCGUAGAUAUCGAGAAGAACGCUCGCAGCGAAAGCGAGGCUCUGGGCAAUUUCUGACGCUGAUGCACGAAGGCUAGGGGAGCAAACGGG
rnacentral:rRNA from 1 species